GGGUUCAAAUGGGCAUAUAUAUUGUGUCCCUACAAACCCUGUAGGGUUGCUUUUCUGACUAGAUGGUGAUUAGCUUAUGCCCUCAAGCAACAGAGACAGAAACUGAGGCUGCGAAAGUUAAGAAAAUGAGGUAUUUAUGCCUUGUACUUGAAAUGAAAAGGCGAACUUUGAAGUGCAAAGACUGGGUAUUCCUGAGAGAGCAGGGAGUCUGGAAGUGCAGGAGUCACACACGCUGUGCUCCCAUAAUGGCUUCGCCUUCCUUCGGUCCUGUGAACUAUCCCUGAGUAGAAAAGAACCUGUGCCCACUGCAAGCCCAUCUUGGGUGAAGAGCCCCCUGCAGGAGCCACGAAGGUGGAAGUUUCAAGUCACAAGAGGUGACAGGGCCAGAGGGAGGAGAAGGCGGCCACAGCCAAUCAGGAGUCUCUGUGAUCAGAGUCCAAGAAGCUGGGCAGCAAGGAGCACGUGGGGAUGCAGGAGUCGUGAGAGAGAGAUGGAGAGAGGAGGGGACCACGGCAUAAAAUAUCAGCGGGCACCCGAGGGGAAGGACUGGGAGGAAAUUCAGCCAUGGAGACUUCUCCAACAAUUAUGCACGUUCCUGAGGCACUAAGUGGUUUUCCUGGGAGAGGCUAUCAGGAAAAGCCUGUGUCCUGGCAUCUGUAAGAGCAGGAUGAAAAAGUGCCUUUUGUUUUCCCAGUCACGGCAGCAUUAUCUGAAAUAGCAAAGACUGGAAACAACUAAAUGGCCACCAACAGGAGAGGAGAAAACAGAAGCAAGAUACAUCCAUACCGUGGGUACUGUGGAGCCAUCUGAAGGAACGAGGAGGUUCCUUAUGGACUGAUGGAGAAAGAUCUCCAAAAUAUACUGUUACAAAAAAAGGGGGCAACACGGUAAACAGUGUAUUCACAGUGUAUAGUGUAUAGGUACAGUUAGUAUAAAAAGGGUGGAGAAGGGAUUGGGAGGGAGCUCCAUGGUAUAUGCCUUAUCUACAUUUUGAACCAGGUGAGUAUUGUUUAUUUAAUGAAAAAUUAAAAUAAAAAGAACCUCCGUUUUACA
rnacentral:lncRNA from 1 species